CACACUGAAAACUGCAUCAGGAUGAUGUUGCUAACAAUUUUAACUGUGAUGUUGGGUUUUCUGAGUCAAGAGUCUUCUGCCAAUAAAUUUCUGACUCAAACUGAUAAAUCCAAGUCUGUCAGUCCAGGUGGGACUGUGACCAUCAGCGCCACAGGGAGCUCAGAUAUUGGUGCUGAUCUCAGUUGGUACCUUCAGAAACCUGGACAGCCUCCCAAGCUUCUUAUAUACGGGGCAUCAACUCGCUUCUCAGGAGCUCCUUCUCGAUUCAGUGGUAGAAGAUCGGGUUCACUGUACACUUUAACCAUCAGUGGUGUUCAGGCUGAAGAUGCUGGAGAUUAUUACUGUCUGGGUCUGCAUAGUGGUGGAGUGCUCACACAGUGAUUCAGAGCUGUGCAAAAACCUUUGGCUGAAGGCUGCAGGUGCAGAGUGUUGGUGUAUAGACUGUGAUGAGAAUAACUGGUACACUGAACACAAUAGUCAUCAAGUAGAAACACAA